UACGUAGGUGGCGAGCGUUGUCCGGAUUUACUGGGCGUAAAGAGCGCGCAGGCGGUCGUACAAGUCGCGUGUGAAAGCCCCCGGCUCAACUGGGGAGGGUCACGCGAUACUGUUCGACUCGAAGGCAGGAGAGGGAAGUGGAAUUCCCGGUGUAGUGGUGAAAUGCGUAGAUAUCGGAAGGAACACCAGUGGCGAAGGCGGCUACCUGGAUUGACACUGACACUGAGGCGCGAGAGCGUGGGGAGCAAACAGG
rnacentral:rRNA from 1 species